rnacentral:rRNA from 1 species
AUUGAACGCUGGCGGUAUGCUUUACACAUGCAGUCGAACGGAUUAAAGAGCUUGCUCUUUAGUUAGUGGCAAACGGGUGAGUAACGCGUGAGAAUUUACCCCUUAGUGAAGGAUACCCUCGAGAAAUCGAGGUUAAUACUGCAUAAGUCCUUACGAGGAGAAAGGUGGCCUCUUGCUACCGCUGAGGGAUAAGCUUGCGUACUAUUAGCUAGUUGGUGAGGUAAUGGCCCACCAAGGCGAUGAUGGUUAGCCGACCUGAGUGGGUGAUCGGCCACAUUGGGACUGAGAUACGGCCCAGACUCCUACGGGAGGCAGCAGUGGGGAAUUUUGCACAAUGGGCGAAAGCCUGAUGCAGCGACGCCGCGUGGAGGAUGACGGUCUUCGGAUUGUAAACUCCUGUUAAGUGGGAAGAAAGACGUACUUCUAAUACUAGUACGGGAUGACGGUACCACUAGAGAAAGCUCCGGCUAACUCUGUGUCUGUG